UACGUAGGGGGCAAGCGUUGUCCGGAAUCAUUGGGCGUAAAGAGCGUGUAGGCGGCCAGAAAAGUCCGCUGUGAAAUCUCGAGGCUCAACUUCGAGCUGUCGGUGGAAACUAUCUGGCUAGAGUCCGGAAGAGGAGAAUGGAAUUCCUGGUGUAGCGGUGAAAUGCGUAGAUAUCUGGAGGAACACCGGUGGCGAAGGCGGGUCUCUGGGCCGAUACUGACGCUGAGGAGCGAAAGCGUGGGGAGCGAACAGG
rnacentral:rRNA from 1 species